AAUCAAUCAACAAACAAUCAAAUCAAAAACCUUUAAAUUGUUCGAUUUUCGUUCAAAAUUCAAUUCAAUCUAAAAAUGUUCACCAAAUUUUCAUCACUUUUCUUCGGUCUUGUCCUUAUUGCUUUCGUUGCUCUUUUCGACUCAGCCAAUGCUCGAUAUGGUGACAAAGGCGGUGGAUCAAUUGUUAUCCUCGGUGGUCAUGGUCAACCCUUCAUGCCUUACCCAAUGAUGAUGGGCGGUGGUGGAUUUGGCGGUUUCGGUGGUUUCGGUGGUUUCGGAAGAUAAAUUCAUCCAACCAAACAUCAUGUUACCUAUACAGUAAAGAAAGAAAGAGAGAAAGUAAAAAAGAAUCAUCAGAAUAAUCCUCAAAUUAAAACCAAUCGCUUUUAAUUGUAACAAGAGAACAGAAAAAAAAGAAUAGAAUUGACCAAAACAUGUAACCAAUAUUGUUGACCAAUAAAAGAAUUUAAACCAAGUAAA